UAGAUGUACAUUAGGGUAGAAAUAGAGAGAGGCGAUGAAACAGAGAGAGGUGGACACGGAGAAAGAAGCAGAGAAAGAGAGAGGCUAUGAAAUCAAAAAGUUUCAAAAAAUGAUUUUGCAAACCCAAAACCUAGGCAGAACGAAAAAAUAGAGAAGGCACGUCGUGGGGACUGGGGAGAAAGAAAAAUCUGCCACCAUCAGAGAAAUAGGCCGUGUACCCAUAACAGAUUUAGAUUUUUAAAUAAUUUACUCAUACGCUGCAUAUAACCUAUCCCCUCUCUCAUCCGUCUUUCUUCUCGCUGCCACUCUCUAAUGCGCAAACCCAAAUCGUGAGAUAGAGUUCGUAAGAGGGAUAAUCGUUUCUGUACAAAUUAAAAGAAAAAAGUCUGGGAUAGAGAGAGGGAGUUCACUAGGCCGUAUGCCCGCUAAAGUCCGUUCUCCCACCACCAUCAGACUCCUGUAACCCCACAGAGAAAGAUACAGUCACAAAGAGAGAAAGUUCGUAUGGCGCCAAGAGAGAAAUAUCUAAGUUCCACCAUUACUGUCAAUUUUUCUACCGCCAUCCGUUCUGUUCUCUCGCUGGACUCAAAACACCGAAACCACAAGCACACACUGGAAUUGAGAUUGAGGAACAGAAAUCUAAGUGCCAUUAACUCCGUCGAUCAGGCCAUUUACCUGCCAUCAUCAGAUCACUGAAACUGCCAUCGGAUUUGAUUAUCAAAGGUGAUACAACCUCAACAUCAACACUAAGGGAGAGUGAUUGCAGGAAAAAUAGUCUCUACUUUCAACUUAUGAUGAAGUUUGAAAGUUUUUCAGUUUCUCCUACAAAGCAAUUUGGACAUGUAGUGGAAAUAAAAAAUGUUGUUGUGGGAAAAUCAAAGAAUGACGACUCCAUUGAAAAUCACUUUUUGAUGCACCAUUUAAUUAUGACGUUUGCCAAAUGCUUCAUAAACGUCACAAGACUACUAAACAGAAUGCAUCCAAUAGGGAAAAGAAUUGAAUAGGGUACAAUAGCAACUUAUUGCUAAACUUCUAUGAUAUAACAUUUAUGUUAAGAUGAUUUGUACGGCUAUAUAAGAAUUUUUAUGAUAUAACGUUUAUAUAAUUAGAGUUUAUCUGUGGUUGAUUUCACACUCAAUUAAAUUGUAAUUUCCUACUAAAAUUUUAUUGUAUUUUAUAGAAAGCAUUCAUAUGAUUAACAAACUUUACAUGUUUUAACAUGACUAAUACAUAAAGUACUCCUGUGCAAUUGGGUUUAUUUAUGUAAAUCUGAAUGAAUUGGGUUUAUUUAUGUAAAUCUGAAUGCAUGUCAAUUGCAAAUACAACUGCAUUUUUUAUUUAUAGAAAUUUAUUGUUGAUGAUAAAUGGUGAUUUUAAAGAGUUGGGAGUUUGGUCAUGCCAAAUCAAAGAAUCAAAAAGAUACUGUUAACAUUUUUUUGGGUUGAAUAAAAAGUACAGAAAAGUUACCCCAAAAAAAAGAAACUGCAAUAAAAGUUACUUUGUGGAAUAGCCCGCGCAUUGCGCGGGUUAAAGGCUAGUUUCUAUAAUUGAGAUAGACUACUUGACUUAGUACUAGUUACAUAUGACUUGAUUGAAUUGAUCAUUG